rnacentral:lncRNA from 1 species
UAGCUAUUUCUGUCACAAAAGAUGAAAAAACCAUAUUAAAUCGCAUGUUUCCGAAGCUGUUUUCUGUAUUCAUUUUCAUCAGGAAUGCUCAACACUUCGGGGGGGGGAUUCAAGAAUGUAUAAAAACUGGAAGAGUGGAAAGGAUAUAUAACAAAAAAAAUACCAAAAAGUAGCCAAAUCCAUCUAAAGUCAAUUUUGCAUUUCGCAUUGACAAAAACUUUACUAUAUUUUAACAUAGGAUAUUUUGUUCGAUUUACUCAUUAAAUCUGCCAAAUGAGUGUCUUGACGAUUUCCCUGGCUCUGGUACCCAGUAAAUAGAUUUCAAAAAAAAUAAUUCAAAUUAUGUAAACAUGAAUAUGGUUUUCUGUAAAAUCUUCACUGAAAACACAAAAAAGAAACAAAUCAGCAAGUUGAAGUUGAUAUAAAGACGUGUAUAUCAAUAUUUUAAGUAUUUUUCUGCUCUUUGGUCGGAUUGUUGUCUCUUUGACAAAUUUCGCAUUUCCUUUCUCAAAUUUAUCUGUAAAUUUAAUUCUCUAUUUCAAAUAAAUGUAGAUAUUCAUUCCAUGCCGUUGGUACUUAUAUAGAUUUACUUUCACUUAUACGUCUCAGUGCUUUUUGGGCAGUCAACAUAUAAAUAAAGAAUUGCCUCACACACUUUGAACGAAUUAGUAUAUUGGAGAACGUUCGUUUUUACAAACCAACAUUAAGAUCAUAAACAAUUUGAGGCCUGCUUUGAACAAGGCUUCAAAAUGACACAGGUCCAAUUAGCAAAUGAGAAAGGAAUGUCUGUUAGUAGUGAAUUAUAACCAACGUUGAAAUAUUUUCUUCUAGUUGGAUGGUAGCCUGGGAAACUGACAACCCGUUAGCUGUGUUGUGACUCAUUGUAAAUCUCUUAAUGAAACUAGCCAACUGAUUUCCACACGAACUUUAAAAAACCUGAAUAAUAUAUUUCAUUUUUUUUUAUGAGUAACUGAGUGUAAAUAGUUAACUUGAUAAUGUUAAAAAAAUUGCGAUUAUAUAAAUGUAUUACCAUUAAAGCCAU